UACACUCCUACGGGAGGCAGCAGUGGGGAAUAUUGCACAAUGGGCGCAAGCCUGAUGCAGCCAUGCCGCGUGUAUGAAGAAGGCCUUCGGGUUGUAAAGUACUUUCAGCGGGGAGGAAGGCGAUAAGGUUAAUAACCUUGUCGAUUGACGUUACCCGCAGAAGAAGCACCGGCUAACUCCGUGCCAGCAGCCGCGGUAAUACGGAGGGUGCAAGCGUUAAUCGGAAUUACUGGGCGUAAAGCGCACGCAGGCGGUCUGUCAAGUCGGAUGUGAAAUCCCCGGGCUCAACCUGGGAACUGCAUUCGAAACUGGCAGGCUAGAGUCUUGUAGAGGGGGGUAGAAUUCCAGGUGUAGCGGUGAAAUGCGUAGAGAUCUGGAGGAAUACCGGUGGCGAAGGCGGCCCCCUGGACAAAGACUGACGCUCAGGUGCGAAAGCGUGGGGAGCAAACAGGAUUAGAUACCCGAGUAGUCCCAUGA
rnacentral:rRNA from 1 species